AGAGUUUGAUCCUGGCUCAGGACGAACGCUGGCGGCACGCUUAACACAUGCAAGUCGAACGAGAGAAGAUAAGCUUGCUUUUCUGAUCUAGUGGCGGACGGGUGAGUAACACGUGAGCAAUCUGCCUUUCAGAGGGGGAUACCGAUUGGAAACGAUCGUUAAUACCGCAUAACAUAAUUGAACCGCAUGAUUUGAUUAUCAAAGAUUUAUCGCUGAAAGAUGAGCUCGCGUCUGAUUAGCUAGUUGGUAAGGUAACGGCUUACCAAGGCGACGAUCAGUAGCCGGACUGAGAGGUUGAUCGGCCACAUUGGGACUGAGACACGGCCCAGACUCCUACGGGAGGCAGCAGUGGGGAAUAUUGCACAAUGGAGGAAACUCUGAUGCAGCGAUGCCGCGUGAGGGAAGAAGGUUUUAGGAUUGUAAACCUCUGUCUUCAGGGACGAAAAAAGACGGUACCUGAGGAGGAAGCUCCGGCUAACUACGUGCCAGCAGCCGCGGUAAUACGUAGGGAGCGAGCGUUGUCCGGAAUUACUGGGUGUAAAGGGAGCGUAGGCGGGAUCGCAAGUCAGAUGUGAAAACUAUGGGCUUAACCCAUAAACUGCAUUUGAAACUGUGGUUCUUGAGUGAAGUAGAGGUAAGCGGAAUUCCUAGUGUAGCGGUGAAAUGCGUAGAUAUUAGGAGGAACACCAGUGGCGAAGGCGGCUUGCUGGACGACAACUGACGCUGAGGCGCGAAAGCGUGGGGAGCAAACAGGAUUAGAUACCCUGGUAGUCCACGCUGUAAACG
rnacentral:rRNA from 1 species